rnacentral:lncRNA from 1 species
CUCCACGAUUUUUGAGCUCGCGAUAUUCUUGGCAUAAGGCACAAGCUUCACAGAAACAGUGAAGCAAGCAAUCCCCACAAGGGCUUUCUUUCAACAAGUAUUGUUGUCUCAUCUUGGAACGAUAGAAACAAGAGUAAAAACAUGGGCAACCAGUCACACAUAUUAUUAUUGCGUAUAAUGCUCCACUUACUCCACAAGCUGCAAUAUGAAGCCAAAACAAAUAUUACUAUAAUUAAUAUAGGGAAGACAGAAGGUUAAUAAAUUCACGAUUUUAAGGUAGUACUAAGGUAGUUUAAUUGGGUUAUUUUUUAUUAGAUUAAAAAUAAAAAAUAAAAAAUAAACAAUACAAAAUAAGAAAAUACUGUCGAAAAAUUAUAUUUUUCGGUAACUAUGAUUUUUGUGUUAGUUACUGAAAGUUUUAUGAUUUUACAUGAAAAAAAGUCAUAGUUAUAUGAUCAUUUGUAAAAUUUAUCCAGCAGUAUAAAUGUAAUAUAGAAGUAGUAUCUGCUUAGAAAAUUUCAAUUACAUGUAGAGUUCGAAGUGAAAGCAGUAAUUGCGGUCACAAUGAUUUAUAGAAUCUCAAGAUUCACGAUUUUAAAUCUUUUCUUAAUUACAAAGUAUUAUUAUUUUAGCAUAAAUUCUUACUGAAAAUGGUGCGAAUUAAUGGUUUGCUCAGGUUAGUUUCUUGCAAGUUCAAGUCAGUUGAAUUUAGUAUUUUGUACUCCUUCCGUUUUCUUUUAUUAGUCCUGUAUUGACUUUACACUCUCUUAAGAAAUUAUUUACAUUAAAAAUUUAUUUACUAAAUUACCGUUAGUAAUGGUAAGUACAAUAUUUUCAAUAAAUCAAUGAUUGAGAAGUGGGUAAGAUUAGAAAAAGAAAAAGAAAAAGAAAAAGAAAAACCAAUUCAAGAAUUGGUCAACAGCCACACUCAUUCUUCGUACUUUCUAUUUUAUCUUUUAAAUUGAACCUCAGUAUUCAAACAAAUAAACAUUAAAAUAAAAAGAUAAAUGAAAUACUUACAAUUUGAACCUUUGUCUAUGAUCUCAGCUAUCUGUCCAAAAGUGAUGCAUGGACACCAGAAUGUUAUGCAACCUGAUCAAACAAACAAUUGAGAAAAAAGUAAACAAACAGAAAAAAAUUUCAUAUUUUUUUGGUUAAUUUGACUAAUCUUUAAAGCUAAAUUAGAUUAAAUCAAUUAGAUAUUUAAAAACUAUAAUAUGAAAAAAAGUUUGUCUCUGGAGAAGCGAAAAAAUGUCAUAAAUUGAGAUAAUAAAGGAAGAAACAAACACGAAAAAUGUAAUGAAGAUUAUCUAUCAUAUGAACUUACAAUUCUUGGGGUCGGACAUACAGUCACAUAAACCAGUUGACCAUGGAACAUGAUUCUUCUUUUUCCGAUACAUGGCCGGCGGCGGAUCGAUUGACUCCACAUACAACUGGCCUUUAGAGCUCACCGGAACACCGGUCUGCAACGGCGGCGGCGUU